AUUAACAUCGACAAUAAAGAACUUGUCUACCCAUAAAACGUGUUCCUCUUUAUCAUACCAGCUUCUAAACGCCACUAAAGGAAAUUGAAUCACAGUGAUUCAGA